UAGUCUCGCACAGAUGCAUAUCAAUAAGCGGAGGAAAAGAAACUAACAAGGAUUCCCCUAGUAACGGCGAGUGAAGCGGGAAGAGCUCAAAUUUGAAAUCUUAAAGGGUUUCCCUUUACGAAUUGUAGUUUAAAGAAGUGUUUUCUGUUGAGGUUUUGGUAAAAGUUCUUUGGAAUAGGACAUCAUAGAGGGUGAGAAUCCCGUAUUUGACCUUUACUUUCAACUUUGUGAUACACUUUCAAAGAGUCGGAUUGUUUGGGAAUGCAGUCCAAAAUGGGUGGUAAAUUUCAUCUAAAGCUAAAUAUUGGCGAGAGACCGAUAGCGAACAAGUACCGUGAGGGAAAGAUGAAAAGAACUUUGAAAAGAGAGUUAAACAGUACGUGAAAUUGUCAAAAGGGAAGCGUUUGACACCAGUGUUGUUUUUCUGAAAAUCAAUUAAAGAACUGUUUAUGCUAAGCUGUUUAGACUUUAUCAGCUAACUGUUUAGUUUUGAGCUUUUCUUUAAUGCACUUUUCAGUUAACAAGUCAACAUCAAUUUCUUUUGCUGUAAAAAAGCUUGAGGAAGGUGGCUUGAGAUUCGUCUUAAGUGUUUAUAGCCUCUUGCCUAUGCAGUCGGAGAGAUUGAGGUCCGCAGCGUAGAUCCUUCGGGGCUAAAUGCAUUUGUGCUAAGUUAUAGCAUUUCAUAGACAACUUGUUGACUAUGAUUUGUCUUGUAGCUUACUCGCUUAUGUUAUUUUACCUACGCUUAGGAUGUUGACAGCAGUAUAGACUGU
rnacentral:rRNA from 1 species